GAUGAAGAACGUAGCGAAAUGCGAUAAGUAGUGUGAAUUGCAGAAUUCAGUGAAUCAUCGAAUCUUUGAACGCACAUUGCGCCCCUUGGUAUCCCGAGGGGCAUGCCUGUUCGAGCGUCAUUUCACCACUCAAGCCUGGCUUGGUGUUGGGCGACGUCCCCUUUAGGGACGCGCCUCGAAACGCUCGGCGGCGUGGCACCGGCUUUAAGCGUAGCAGAAUCUUUCGCUUUGGAAGUCGGGGCCCCGCCUGCCGGAAUACCUACUCGUAAGGUUGACCUCGGAUCAGGCAGGGAUACCCGCUGAACUUAAGCAUAUCAAUAAGCGGGGA
rnacentral:misc_RNA from 1 species